rnacentral:rRNA from 1 species
AUUGAACGCUGGCGGCAUGCCUUACACAUGCAAGUCGAACGGUAACAGGUCUUCGGAUGCUGACGAGUGGCGAACGGGUGAGUAAUACAUCGGAACGUGCCUAGUAGUGGGGGAUAACUACUCGAAAGAGUGGCUAAUACCGCAUGAGAUCUACGGAUGAAAGCAGGGGAUCGCAAGACCUUGUGCUACUAGAGCGGCCGAUGGCAGAUUAGGUAGUUGGUGGGAUAAAAGCUUACCAAGCCGACGAUCUGUAGCUGGUCUGAGAGGACGAUCCGCCACACUGGGACUGAGACACGGCCCAGACUCCUACGGGAGGCAGCAGUGGGGAAUUUUGGACAAUGGGCGCAAGCCUGAUCCAGCAAUGCAGCGUGCAGGAUGAAGGCCUUCGGGUUGUAAACUGCUUUUGUACGGAACGAAAAGCCCUGGGUUAAUACCCUGGGGUCAUGACGGUACCGUAAGAAUAAGCACCGGCUAACUACGUGCCAGCCGCCGCGGUAACAC